rnacentral:rRNA from 1 species
GUUGAACGCUGGCGGCAGGCCUAACACAUGCAAGUCGAACGGGUGGCGGACGGGUGAGUAAUGUCUUGGAAACUGCCUGAUGGACGGGGCUAACUACUGGAAACGGUAGCUACUACCGCUAAACAUCCGUUGUGCCAAGAUGGGAUUAGCUAGUUGUUGGGGUAACGGCUCACCAAGGCGACGAUGCCUAGCUGGUCUGAGAGGAUGACCGGCCACACUGGAACUGAGACACGGUCCAGACUCCUACGGGAGGCAGCAGUGGGGAAUAUUGGACAAUGGGCGAAAGCCGGACGCAGCCAUGCCGCGUGUAUGAAGAAGGCCUUCGGGUUGUAAAGUACUGUCAGCGGGGAGGCGGUAUCCGCAGAGGAAGCACCGGCUAACUCCGUGCCAGCAGCCGCGGUAAUUC